rnacentral:rRNA from 1 species
CAUGAAGCUGGAAUCGCUAGUAAUCGCAGAUCAGAAUGCUGCGGUGAAUGCGUUCCCGGGUCUUGUACACACCGCCCGUCACACCACGGAAGUUGGGGGCGCCCGAAGCCACUUAGCUAACCCAUUUGGGAAGCGAGUGUCGAAGGUGAAAUCAAUAACUGGGGUGAAGUCGUAACAAGGUAUC